CAACAACGACUAUAAGGGAUGGUUUCUGUAGUUCAAUACUAGAGAAGUUUCUCUGAAGGUGUAGCAAGCACCAGAAACCACCAGGAGAGUGCAGUAUUCCCUCCCGAGCGUGAUGCUGCCCGCUCUCGAUGUUGCUUUGCUCAGCUGCCAUUCGGCAUUGAUGAUUGUUUUUCCCUUCCUUAGGGAAGAGUGGGAGGGAAAGGAUGCAGUCUGAGUGGC
ensembl:snoRNA U3 Small nucleolar RNA U3